rnacentral:sRNA from 21 species
GUCAACAACCCACCACUGACCCUAGGGGUACAGUGGGGGCUUGAAAGAAAGCCCUAGUUGACCAGUCUAAGUACUUUUGUACUCCGUUUUUUGAGUCAAGACACCUACAAAUACGACGCCAGUUUGUUGCUCUGUC